AAGGGUAUGGCUGUUCGCCAUUUAAAGCGGUACGUGAGUUGGGUUCAGAACGUCGUGAGACAGUUCGGUCCCUAUCUGCCGUGGGUGUAGGAAUAUUGAGAGGAUCUGUCCCUAGUACGAGAGGACCGGGAUGGACGUAUCUCUGGUGGACCUGUUGUGGCGCCAGCCGCAUAGCAGGGUAGCUAUAUACGGACGGGAUAACCGCUGAAGGCAUCUAAGCGGGAAACCCACCUCGAAACGAGUAUUCCCUAUCAGAACCGUGGAAGACGACCACGUUGAUAGGCCGGGUGUGGAAGUGCGGCAACGCAUGAAGCUUACCGGUACUAAUCGUUCGAUCGGCUUGAUCGUUCUCAUU
rnacentral:rRNA from 1 species